rnacentral:rRNA from 1 species
UUGACCUCAAAUCAGGUAGGACUACCCGCUGAACUUAAGCAUAUCAAUAAGCGGAGGAAAAGAAACUAACAAGGAUUCCCCUAGUAACUGCGAGUGAAGCGGGAAAAGCUCAAAUUUAAAAUCUGGCAGUCUUUGGCUGUCCGAGUUGUAAUCUAGAGAAGUGCUAUCCGUGCUGGACCAUGUAUAAGUCUCCUGGAAUGG